AUAGUGUCCAGGUGCUAACCUAUUUUUGCCCUGGAACUCCGGCUUGGCCGCGCUUAGCCUGUUGUCCCGGUCCUCUGUACCUUAAUUUUCCUUGCCUUCCCAACUACCCAGGAAGACGCUUUUUUAAAUGAGAAGUGACUAAGAAGACUAACAAUCGAUCCAUAUAACUACCAGGGAGCUCCCCUGCCACAAAAAGAUAUAGGCCCCAGUAGUUCACAGAGGAAU